rnacentral:lncRNA from 1 species
AGAUGAAAAGCACUUUUUUUUUUUUUUUUGAGAGAGAGAUAGGUAGUAUGCUAUCCGUUUCAUUUAUUUCAUUUAGAAAUAAAUUUAGCUGAAAAUGUGAAUCAACUGGGUUUCGAACUUAAAUCUCGGGUAUCAACCAUCAAGUCCUUUGCCACUUACUUUAGGGACGAUCGGUUUGAAAACAAACGAAGCAAGUAACAUAUAGUUUGAAGUGCACUUAUUAACAAACCAAAUGAACAAAAA